rnacentral:lncRNA from 1 species
UGGGAACGGCCUCUAGCCCUUAUUUCCACGGCAAGCCUCACUUUGGCCGUUCUCAUGAACCAGGGAAAGAAGUAACCCUCUCCAAUAGGAAAGCGUAAUAAGAUCUAUGGGAUUUAAUAAGAUCGUCCAAGCCUUGGCACCUACUGCAGUUUUCUGGUGACACCGCGUUCUUUGGGGAGGACUCUGACUGUUAGAACCUCUCUUAGGAACACAGUCACGCAAAGGUCUGGGGCAGAACUCCGGAAACGGGGAACCACACGAGGCCCUAAGGGUAUGAGCUCGCUGCGUGUGAGAAGCCAGAAGAAAGGAAAGCUGGUCAGACCAAAGCAAGGUGAGCUGAAGAGCUGAGCUAUGCAAAGUGGGGCCCGAGUCUGGUCACGGCCUCAUCUUGUAGGGUCAGGCGGGCCAGGCAAAGAUUGUGGUUUUCUGUUUGUUCUUUAACUUGUGAUUUAAAAAAAAAUUUUUUUUUUAAUCUUUAUUUAUUUUUGAGAGAGAGAGAGACAGCGUGUGAGCAGGGGAGGAGCAGAGAGAGAGGGAGACACGGAAUCUGAAGCAGGAUCCAGGCUCUGAGCUGUCAGCACAGCGCCUGACACGGGGCUCGGACUCACGGACCGUGAGAUCGUGACCUGAGCCGAAGUCAGACGCUCAACCAACUGAGCCACCCAGGCGCCCCACUUGUGAUUGUUUUUUAAAAGAAAUUUCAAAGGUAAAAUUUACAUAAAGGGAAAUGCACAGAUCUUAAAUGUACAGUUUGAUGAGUUUUGACAAACGGAAACGCUGGUGUAUCUGAAGCCCUUUCCAAUCAGAAUAUAAAAAUUCCCUGGUGCCUCCUUUCAGUUAACCUCAGCCUCUACAGAGGUGAUCACAGCUCUGGCUUCUUUCACCAUUGAUUAGUUUUGUCCGUUCUUGAACUUUAUAUAAAUGGGAUCCUACUGUAAGUACUUCUUUGUGUCUGUCUUCUCUAUGCAUCAUCGGAAACACUCAUGCAUACUUUGCAGGCUUUAGGAGUUCGAUCCUUUACACUGCUGUGUAGUACUCCACGGCACCAAUAUACUGUGCUGUUCUAUUCAUCUCUUGCUAAUGGG